CCUGUCCCGCAGCCCCACACCUCCGCUCGUGCUGUCCUCCUCGGAUCCGUAGGCCUGCUUGAAGCGGUCCUCGGUGAAGAUGCUCCGGUACACGGCCACGGAGGCGCUCAUGUUGUCCCUAGGGUAGCUGAGACGACCAGGGGUCAGGGGAGUGAUGGAUCCUAUCCCAACUAUCUUGGGACAGGAGGCAGGGACACCCUUAACUGUUUGCCAGUCAAUCGCAGGGCACAGGAGCGCCUCGAGAAAACCCACGCAGCCACAAGGAGAACAAGCGAACUCUGCAAAAAAACAAACAAACAAAAACGAUAAAAGAGCAUAAAAUAAUAUUCCAACUGUAAUACCACAUUUGGAUACAGUUGUGGCUAUAUAACAAGAUUAAAAUUUGUGUUCCUGUGUUUUUUAAAUCAACGCCGUGUGUUUUUGUUACUCGCAAGAAAUGCCAGGUUUAAACUGAAAUCAAUUCAUAUUUGUGUUUGAAAUUGCCACGCUAAAAUUUAAUUAGAGAAGAAAAUGUACU